CAGUUCACGGCGCAUUCGUCCGGUCACAGUAAAUCUCUGGGGUUCCCCUCCAAACACCACUCCACCAGGGGCCCCUCGCACUCCGGAGCCGACAAGGGCCACAAGUCCAUGCAGCCGAAGCACCCAGGUGGUUCUCCGUCCCGUUUCAGCGCAGGAAUGUUCCCGGUCAGUCUCCUGAUCUUUGCUUUUGUCGCCUCCAGAGAACUGCUCCAUCUGCGGGAUCUUCCGUAUCUCGGUGCACUGCGUGACCUGCCUCCAGGGCCUGUGCUCCGAGUGCGAUAAGCUCUACCACAGCGGGACAGAGCGAGCGGGACAUCAGCGCACCAAGGUCACCGCCACUCUGCCCCUGGAGCCAAGACUAGGAAGCACAGCUCGUCAUCGUGGAAGUGCGUGACGUGCUCCCGGACCAACUCGAGUCAGGACGUCCUGUGUGAGGCGUGUGAGAGUCCGCGCAGAGGCCUCAGCGACAGAGGGGAGGAGAAGCCGCCCGCCUCCAUCACCGUGGGUGUGCCAGUUCUGCACGUACUUGAACUACUCUCCCGCACCGUGUGUGAGAUGUGCGACCUGCCCCGCCCCGAGCCGCCCCCUCUGAACCGGCGCCCGCCCUCGCCGUGCGCAGGGUCCCCGCCCUGCCUGUCAAGUCCAAA
rnacentral:lncRNA from 1 species